rnacentral:rRNA from 1 species
UACGGAGGGUGCAAGCGUUAUCCGGAUUUACUGGGUUUAAAGGGUGCGUAGGUGGGUUGGUAAGUCAGUGGUGAAAUCUCCGAGCUUAACUUGGAAACUGCCAUUGAUACUAUCAGUCUUGAAUAUUGUGGAGGUCAGCGGAAUAUGUCAUGUAGCGGUGAAAUGCUUAGAUAUGACAUAGAACACCAAUUGCGAAGGCAGCUGGCUACACAUAUAUUGACACUGAGGCACGAAAAGCGUGGGGGAUCAAAACAGGG